GGAAGUUCUCUGGGAUCCUCCGAUCCUCCGCGACUCUGGAGCCCGGCAGCUCCCUUCAGUGCUUUUCAGCAACGCUGAUCCCAGCAGCUGAGGAAACACACUGGAAAGCCAUUUUCCAAACGUAUCACCACUUCUAUGGAGGCGAAACAAGUGAAGGGAAGCAAGACAAAGAGAGCAAGCAGAGAUUCUCAGGAACCCAAAUUCUGCACACAUUCUGGAACUGCAAGAAAGCCAACAGCCUAGCUCAUGAUACAAGCACAGGGCAACCUGUAUUUUACGUUCCUGCCUGGGAUUAGAGACAACAAAAAUGUCAGUUGUAAACUAAAGUUGUUAUUGAGCAAUUUGCCUCACUCACUGUCUUAUUAAAGUCAUUUUAUUCUCUCUC